GGGAUGGGUGAUAACUUCCUACAGUCCAGAAAAAUUGCAGACUACAGGAACCACUUGCACUUCAGUUUGAGAUUUAGACAACAAAGACUCAACCCCAAGAAAGUUGCCUCUUGAAAAAAAGCACCUUUGGGCCAAGAAUAGAAACUAGGCAAUGUUUUUCUACCCUCUGGUGUUUCAUUGCCAUGCACUCUGCCUGCAAUAAAAGGCAAUAUCCAACAAUGUUAAAUGUGAUUACGUUAAGGCUAUAAUAUGGAAUUUCUGAAAUGACGACAGGGACAAUUCCAAGCCCAGAACACGUCAGUGUUUCUGUUUUUGUUUGAUGAUACCUUGUGAACUGUUCAGAAUUCACCGACUGUUUUAACAUUAAAAGUUAAAACAAGAGCACGAUGAAAGCCUGAAUAUCAUUCACAGGAAAUGCAGUCACAUGCAGUAGACAUUUUGGUGAGUAACAAUAAAAGUUAAUAAAAAAAUAGGGCCUGAGCAUCCUAUUUGGGAUGGAGGAAUAUUAAUGAAAGUAAUGAUCCAUUGUGCAAAAUGCACAUUUUUGCCAUUGCCUUUAAUUAAAUGGAUUCCAGAAA